rnacentral:lncRNA from 1 species
CACACCCACCUCCCUGCUGUUCCUCACCCAGGAUCACCAAGGUCUCUCCUACCCCGGGGCCUGUGCACCUGCUGUGCCUCUGCUUGGGGUGCUCUUCCCAGGGCUUGCCCACCUCCUCAGAGAGGCCUCCUGACCCCUGACACGGCCUUGCCCUUCACCUCUAUCGUCCUUUAGAACAGCCCCCACCUCCCGCACAUCAUGCAGUUGCAGGUUCAAUGGCUACUGCUUGUCCUCCAGACUCGGAUAGGCCUCAUCACUCCUCAGAUGAUUCUCGAAGGAUAACACACAGGCCAGUGGGCAGCCCUAGGCCAGGGGGAUUACCAAGACAUGAAGACUUUCUUUCUGUCUCAGCAACCUUCAUGCUUGGUCAAGCAAAGGUGUUGCUUAAGUCAAACCCAGGGCAGGGGAGAGCAGUUGAAGCAAAGUGAGUCUUUGGAGGCCCUGUGGUUGUGGGGUCUGGUGUGGAGACAGUGAGAACGGAAAAGGUGGGAGAGGAGCAGUCAACCCGUGAAUGGCCCCAUUCAGACGCCUUUACCUGGAAGACGUGGCAGGGUCUACUGGGGUUCAUCCCAUCUGAGCCAGGCCUGGCUUUUCUUGGCUGCAAGCUGAGAGCUGGGUCCAGGUCUGCUGAACCAAGGUUCUCCCAUCUUCCUUGAGCCAGUGACAAUCAGAGGCCUAUUUCUUUCAUGACGGAAGGCAGGAGAACAAGCAGGGACAAGAAAACAGACUCCACCUCUAGGUGCACAAACUACAGAGUCACGGACAGAGAACACAGAUCUAGGGAAGGAAGCUGGAGAAUGAGAACAAUGACCCUCAAUAACACAACCUCCCACAGGUUUCCAAAUCCCCAACCUGAGCAUAUUUCCAAGGAAACGGAAUCAUGGGUUCAGGGUUUUAGAGCAAGCAAUUUCUGCUCUCCCAGCUUAGUUUCCAUACCCUUAACACAGGGGCAAUGACGUCGCAUCGAAUCAUAUCUUAUAAGUCUGUGAUGAUGUUUCAACAACUGAACGCCAGAAAAGUGCUUAGAGCAAGGCCAGGCUCCCGGCUCACCCACCCAGCAGCUCAGCACCUGCGAAAUCCGUCUCCCGAUGCACACUUGCUAACCGCGUGGGUGUGAGCACAACGAUGGGAAACAGCGGAAGUCCCCGGAGUGCAGACUCAGGAGUGAACCUGCCUGAAGAGUGGCGUCUAACGCACACACUGUGGUCAGCUCCACCCCACUAUGGGUCCCGGGAAUAGGAGCAAGUAUGUAUUUUGCUUGCAGGGCAGGUGUUUCAUCCACAUUAUUGCAGGAACAGAUGAAUUUAAUUAAAAGAACACCACAGUGGGCACCUCUUCCAGGGAUGUCUCCCUCUAAGAACAUGACACUGAGAUGAUCAAGGUUCUAAAAGGGCGAUCAAAUUACUCUCCGAAAAUGAAACUGCUCAGACAGAAUGACAAUUAAAUUAAUAACAACCAAGACAAUGCCCAGAUUUCAUCUCCGCUCACAGCCCCUCCUGUGUGCUGUAUGAUCAGGUUCUUGGGGUGGCUCCAGAUACAGCAAACAGUCAGGAUUAAUCCACAAGAGUGAGCUGUCAGCAUGAGGUUCCCCUACAGUGGAGCUUGCCAAGGUCCGUGCCUCCCAGGGCACCCGUUCCAGGGCUAACAGAUGAAGCAUGGAAAUGCUGUGUGGAGUGAGCUAAGCAGCCGUUCUCAGGAGAAAACAGACAAAUCCUCCUGCAUCCUGGCAAACCAGCUUUGUGGCCUGUUUUAUGUCAUCUUUGCUGAGCUCCACCGGGUCACCCCUCCUGUUGGCUUUGUGAUACUGACAUUUCAGGCACUGGCACAGAUACAUUGGCCUUCCUGGCUGGGAUUUCACGGACGGAGUGAGCAGUGCUGGCUUGGAGGAGCCGUGGCGGCACAGGGCCUGUGCUCUCAGCUGAUCAACGCCUUGAUAGCCAGGAAAGGCCUGUCCUACCCCAAAGGGCCCUCGCAGCACUGUUUGAAAUUGCUCUUGCCAUCUUUGGAAUGGAUUCCUCAGUACAUUUCAGACUCGUUGUUGUGACUUUGGUUUUAAUCCAGGGACACACCGUGGCCAGUGGAGUGUCUCAACAGCAUCUAUGAUCGCUGUUUCCCAGAGACAGCAUCUCAGAUACCGAUGCUGAAAGAGAAACAGCAGCCUGUCCCCAAGUGGCAGGAAAUAGUCCAUUUUAAUGGCAAUUUCAUAAGUGGCAGAUGAUUUUUAUUGUAAUUUUCUGGUGAGCUGAUUAAGUGGAGGCAGAGUCAGUUCUGAGGCGUCAAUGUCUUUAACAAUUCGGGGAGACGGAGGCCACGCUCAGCAGGAACACUGAGUCCAUGGAAAACAGGCCCUGGGCCCGCUGAUGUGCAUAAUUCCACGUUUGCCCCUCAUGUAACCAGGAUGGUAAAUUACAGGUGUCAGAUAAUCACGCUCUGGAGUGGCUACUUGAGGAUGCGAUCGACCAAUUUAAGCUCCGUCUGACACAUGAUCAAUAGCCCGUGAUGCUGCAUGGAAUUGCAGGCACAGUGUCCAAACCUGCAGAGCAGUGGCUCCCAGCUGGGGCAACUUUGCCCCCCAGAGGACAUUUGGCAAUGUCUGGAUAUGUUUGCAAUUGUCACAACUAGGAAAGGAGGUACCCAUAGGAUACACAGGAAAGUCCUCACACAGUUGUAUCCUGCCCAGACUGUCCGUAGAGCCAGGGUGAGAUGCUCUGACAGAGCCACAGUGAACAUUGCAUUCCAUCAUCUGGGUAUCUCCAGGAAUGUAUGUAGCUGGAUGUCUGGCUUUUCAUCUGGGUUUCACGAGCCUCCUGCAGAACUGAAACCAUGUGCAAAUCAGUUCUCAUACUUGCUCUCCUGCCUCCUUCCUAUUGUAAUUUUUUCUUCCCACCUUUUUUAUUGUUACUAGAGAAAUGAUGAAGAAAAAGAAUAGGCUGGAGAGUCACUCAAAAUUUUGUUUUCCUCAAUUAAAAAGAAGUAAUUUAGAAGUUACUCAAUGAUGUUUUCUUUAAUUAAAAAAAAAAGUAGUUUGGGAAAGCAGAAAAUUAAUGAAGACAGAAAACACAGGUUUCAUGAAAAAGUUCAGCAUCCCAGGAAAGGAGCAAAGAGAAGUCUGCAGAUGAGAGUUGCUCAGUGUCAGGACUCAGAAAACAAUACCCCAAGAUAAUGUUCAAACCUGAGUGCUUUGAACAAAGGAUAUUGAAAGACCUCAGAAGAGGGCCUCAGAACUCACAUGUCUCUCUGACCUUCUCCUGUCUCUCCUUCACUUCCAAAGCAUGAUCUUUGGCCAGGGGAUCUCUCUGGGAUUCCCUUAUCUGCCUGAGGGAUGUACUUCCAAAAGAAAUGUGACUGGCAUGACCUCCUCCCUAGGAAUCUCUUCAAACAGCCGGGAAAGACUGGUCACCUGAGAGGAGAUUGGAAGUCCUCACUGCACUCAGAAAGGCUGUUGUCCAUUCUUCUAGAGACUUUAUCUGAAUAACAAGGCAACUUUUGUUUACCAUUCAGUUCCUCCCCUUUCCUUUCUAACUUGUCACCACCUCCCCCAAAAGCCUCAAGCCUCCACUCCUACAAGCUAUAAAGACUUCAACCAUCUGGCUUCUC